rnacentral:tRNA from 1 species
GGAGUAGUACUCAAGAGGCUGAAGAGGUGCCCCUGCUAAGGGUAUAGGUCGGGAAAACCGGCGCAAGGGUUCAAAUCCCUUCUACUCCGCCA